rnacentral:rRNA from 1 species
GAUGAACGCUGGCGGCGUGCCUAAUACAUGCAAGUCGAGCGAACAGACGAGGAGCUUGCUCCUCUGACGUUAGCGGCGGACGGGUGAGUAACACGUGGAUAACCUACCUAUAAGACUGGGAUAACUUCGGGAAACCGGAGCUAAUACCGGAUAAUAUAUUGAACCGCAUGGUUCAAUAGUGAAAGACGGCUUUGCUGUCACUUAUAGAUGGAUCCGCGCCGCAUUAGCUAGUUGGUAAGGUAACGGCUUACCAAGGCAACGAUGCGUAGCCGACCUGAGAGGGUGAUCGGCCACACUGGAACUGAGACAGGGUCCAGACUCCUACGGGAGGCAGCAGUAGGGAAUCUUCCGCAAUGGGCGAAAGCCUGACGGAGCAACGCCGCGUGAGUGAUGAAGGUCUUCGGAUCGUAAAACUCUGUUAUUAGGGAAGAACAAAUGUGUAAGUAACUAUGCACGUCUUGACGGUACCUAAUCAGAAAGCCACGGCUAACUACGUG